CACCAAAGCUGUGCAGUCAAGUGGCAGAUGCAUUUGUAAGAAAAUAUGGGAAAUAUGCUGGAUGGGCACAAACUCUACUUUUCAUUGCUGAGCUGCCUGCCCAAAAAAACCAUUUUACCAUCUCAAUUUGGGAAUAUCACAGAGAUUAAACCUGCUAUCGAUAAAGACGGUGAAGCAGAUAUUGGAAAUUGUGGCUAUAAAUAGAGUACAUCAUUUUAAGUUAUGUUGUCUGUAUGUUUGAGUUCAAAAUUAAUUUGUUGAAUGCCUUAAGCGAGAACUCCUGAUAUGGGUCACCACCAAAAAAUGGAUUUCAUUGGAAGAUUGAACACUUCCUCUUUCAUAUACAAGCCUGC
rnacentral:misc_RNA from 1 species